rnacentral:rRNA from 1 species
AUGGCCAUGGCCCGGCGUUCCGCUUCCCACCUCCUCUCCUCCUUCCGCCCUUUCUCCCUCCUCCUCCAGCCCCUCGCCGACGCCCCCUCGCCCGCGGCCGCGGCCGCAGCGGCGUCGGCUCGUCGGGCGAUGUCCUCGGCGUCGGCUCUGCGGGCGCGGGGAGACGACAAGGAGUUGGCGCGGUGGCGCGAGUCCAUGGAUCGGAUGCGGAACAUCGGUAUCUCCGCGCACAUCGACUCCGGGAAGACGACGCUGACGGAGCGGGUCCUGUACUACACCGGCCGGAUCCACGAGAUCCACGAGGUGCGUGGCCGCGACGGCGUGGGCGCAAAGAUGGACUCCAUGGACCUCGAGCGCGAGAAGGGCAUCACCAUCCAGUCGGCAGCUACCUACUGUACCUGGAAUGGAUACCAGAUUAAUAUCAUUGAUACCCCAGGUCACGUGGAUUUCACUGUUGAGGUUGAAAGGGCCCUCCGUGUUCUUGAUGGUGCUAUACUUGUGCUAUGUAGUGUUGGUGGUGUACAAAGUCAAUCGAUUACUGUUGAUCGACAAAUGAAAAGAUAUGAAAUUCCAAGGGUUGCAUUUAUUAACAAGUUGGACCGCAUGGGAGCUGAUCCAUGGAAAGUUCUCAACCAGGCUCGGGCCAAACUACGGCACCAGAGUGCAGCUGUACAAGUGCCGAUAGGAUUGGAAGAGGAGUUUGAGGGCCUUGUUGAUCUUGUGGAGUUGAAGGCUUUGAAGUUCGAGGGUGGAAGUGGACAGGAGGUUGUUACAUCUGAUGUCCCAUCCAACAUGCAAGAUUUUGUAAUGGACAAGAGACGUGAACUUAUUGAAGUUGUUUCAGAAGUCGAUGACCAGCUUGCAGAAGCUUUUCUUAAUGAUGAGCCAAUAACAGCUAAUGAGCUUAAGGCUGCUAUCAGAAGGGCAACAGUAGCGCGCAAGUUCAUACCAGUUUACAUGGGAAGUGCAUUCAAAAAUAAGGGUGUUCAACCUCUUCUUAAUGGUGUGCUUGACUAUCUACCCUGCCCACUGGAAGUUGAGAACAUUGCUCUUGACCAAAACAAGUCAGAAGAGAAGGUCUCAUUAUCUGGAACUCCAGCUGGUCCACUUGUGGCAUUAGCCUUUAAGCUUGAGGAAGGCCGUUUUGGUCAGUUGACAUAUCUAAGAAUCUACGAAGGUGUGAUUCGGAAGGGUGACUUCAUACAGAAUGUGAAUACAGGAAAAAAGAUCAAAGUUCCACGAUUAGUAAGGAUGCACUCCAAUGAGAUGGAGGAUAUUCAAGAAGCACAUGCUGGCCAAAUUGUUGCUGUGUUUGGUGUUGAUUGCUCGUCAGGUGAUACAUUUACAGAUGGGUCGGUCAAAUAUACUAUGACUUCAAUGCAUGUCGCUGAACCUGUGAUGUCCUUGGCUGUUAACCCGAUAUCUAAAGAUUCUGGAGGACAAUUUUCAAAAGCACUGAAUCGAUUCCAGAGAGAAGAUCCUACUUUCCGUGUAGGUCUGGAUCCAGAGAGUGGACAGACAAUUAUUUCUGGUAUGGGUGAGUUGCAUUUGGAUAUCUAUGUUGAACGCAUCAGGAGAGAGUACAAGGUUGAUGCAAAGGUUGGGAAACCUCGUGUGAACUUCCGGGAAUCGAUCACCCAGCGUGCUGAAUUUGAUUACUUGCACAAAAAGCAAUCUGGUGGUCAAGGUCAAUAUGGGCGAGUUUGUGGGUACAUUGAGCCUCUUCCAUCAGAUGCUGAAGGUAAAUUUGAAUUUGACAACAUGAUUAUUGGACAAGCAAUUCCGUCCAACUUUAUACCAGCGAUUGAAAAGGGUUUCAAGGAGGCUUGCAAUUCGGGUUCAUUAAUAGGGCAUCCUGUCGAGAAUAUUAGGAUUACACUGACUGAUGGGGCUUCACAUCAAGUCGAUUCCAGUGAGCUUGCGUUUAAGCUAGCUGCUAUCUAUGCUUUUAGACAGUGUUAUACUGCUGCUAAACCUGUUAUAUUAGAGCCUGUGAUGAAGGUGGAACUAAAAUUUCCAACAGAGUUUCAGGGCACAGUAACUGGUGACAUAAACAAGAGAAAAGGUAUUAUUGUUGGAAAUGACCAGGAAGGCGAUGACACAGUUGUAGUAUGCCAUGUUCCACUAAACAAUAUGUUUGGAUAUUCGACAGCGCUUCGCUCAAUGACACAGUCUGCGGCAGCAAUGUUCUGCUACAGAAGUAUUGAUAUUCUGCUACACGCAUGGGUGAUACCUGCCAUAUGUGAGGAAAUAAGAACUUGUAUUUCCUGGAGGCUAAGGGCCAGUAUCAAUAUACAAAGCCUUAUAACAAUGGGGAAUAUCACAUCCUAUACACGGAACUAG